rnacentral:rRNA from 1 species
GACGAACGCUGGCGGCGCGCUUAAUACAUGCAAGUCGAGCGAGAACCGGAGCUUCGGCUCCGGGGACAGCGGCGAACGGGUGAGUAACACGUAGGUAGCCUGCCCUCGGCACCGGGAUAGCCCGGGGAAACCCGGAUUAAUACCGGAUGGCCCUUUCGGUCUUCGGACCGGUCGGCAAAGGUAGCUUCGGCCUCCGGCCGAGGAUGGGCCCGCGGCGGAUUAGCUUGUUGGUGAGGUAACGGCUCACCAAGGCUCCGAUCCGUAGCUGGUCUGAGAGGACGAUCGGCCACACUGGGACUGAGACACGGCCCAGACUCCUACGGGAGGCAGCAGUAGGGAAUCUUGCGCAAUGGGCGAAAGCCUGACGCAGCGACGCCGCGUGCGGGAAGACGGCCUUCGGGUUGUAAACCGCUUUCAGGAGGGACGAAGCCACUCGGGUGAAUAGCCCAGAGGGUGACGGUACCUCCAGAAGAAGCCCCGGCUAACUACGUGCCAGCCGCCGCCGUAA